rnacentral:misc_RNA from 1 species
UACGUAGGGGGCAAGCGUUGUCCGGAAUUAUUGGGCGUAAAGCGCGCGCAGGCGGCUGCUUAAGUCUGGUGUUUAAGCCCGGGGCUCAACCCCGGGACGCACGGGAAACUGGGCGGCUUGAGUGCAGGAGAGGGGAGUGGAAUUCCACGUGUAGCGGUGAAAUGCGUAGAGAUGUGGAGGAACACCAGUGGCGAAGGCGACUCUCUGGCCUGUAACUGACGCUGAGGCGCGAAAGCGUGGGGAGCAAACAGG